GAUGAACGCUAGCGGCAGGCUUAACACAUGCAAGUCGAGGGGUAGAAGCAGCUUGCUGCUUUGAGACCGGCGCACGGGUGCGUAACGCGUAUGCAAUCUACCUUUUACAGAGGGAUAGCCCAGAGAAAUUUGGAUUAAUACCUCAUAGUAUGUGAGAAUCGCAUGGUUUUCACAUUAAAGUUCCAACGGUAAAAGAUGAGCAUGCGUCCCAUUAGCUAGAUGGUAAGGUAACGGCUUACCAUGGCGACGAUGGGUAGGGGUCCUGAGAGGGAGAUCCCCCACACUGGUACUGAGACACGGACCAGACUCCUACGGGAGGCAGCAGUGAGGAAUAUUGGACAAUGGGCGCAAGCCUGAUCCAGCAAUGCCGCGUGCAGGAAGAAGGCC
rnacentral:rRNA from 1 species